AGAGGGUGCAAGCGUUAAUCGGAAUAACUGGGGCGUAAAGGGGCAUGUAGGCGGUAUUACAAGUCAGAUGUGAAAGACCAGGGGCUCAACCCUGGGAGCAGCAUAUGAGACUGUAGAACUAGAGUGUAAUAGAGGGUAGUGGAAUUUCCGGUGUAGCGGUGAAAUGCAUAGAUAUCGGAAGGAACACCAGUGGCGAAGGCGGCUACCUGGAUUAACACUGACGCUGAGGUGCGAAAGCGUGGGGAGCGAACAGGAUUAGAUACCCUGGUAGUCCACGCCGUAAACGAUGAGAACUAGCUGUUGGUCUCCAUGAGGGAUCAGUAGCGCAGCUAACGCGAUAAGUUCUCCGCCUGGGGAGUACGGCCGCAAGGUUAA
rnacentral:rRNA from 1 species